rnacentral:snRNA from 1 species
AUGCUUUCACGCGAUCAAAUUCGAUUACAUAUAUUCUUAUGAGUUUAAUAUAUAAUAUGUGGUUCAUAGAGCCACAUGAUAUUAAAUGUGUUUUUAUAGGGGGAGGACCCACUCAUAAUAGCUUGUUAUUUUGGCUCUCGGGCGUUGCUUGUUCAUUGCAUUAGAACACCAACCUGGCACACCCCAA